GGUUCGAUCAUGUUCAGAUUGAACGCUGGCGCGGGAUGCUUUUCACAUGCAAGUCGAACGGGCAGGACUUCGGUCUGUGGCGAGUGGCGAACGGGUGAGUAAUGUAUCGGAACGUGCCUAGUAGCGGGGGAUAAUACGCGAAAGCGUAGCUAAUACCGCAUACGACACCCCUUCGGGGGAAAGCGGACCUUUCGGGCCUCGCACUAUUAGAGCGGCCGGAUAUCGAUUAGCUAGUUGGUGGGUAACGGCUCACCAAGGCGACGACCCAGCUGGUUGAGACGAAUCAGCCACACUGGGACUGAGACACGGCUCAGACUCCUACGGAGGCAAGGCAGGGGAAUUUUUGGACAAUGGGGGAAACUCCCGCAUCCAGCCAUCCCGCGUGUGCGAUGCUGAAGGCCUGGGUUGGGGGAAGCAUCUCUGGCAGGAAGAAAACGGCACGAUACCCUGCACCGACGGUACUCUGCGAAUAAGCACCACAACUAUUGCCAGCAGCCGCGUGGUAAUACGAAGUGCAAGCGCGUUAAUCGGAAUUACUGGCGUAAAGCGUGCAGCGGCGGUUCGGGAAGAAAGAUGUGAAAUCCCAGAGCUAACUUUGGAACUGCAUUUUUAACUACCGAGCUGGAGGUGCCGAGGGAGGUGAAUUCCGCGUGUAGCAGUGAAAUGCGUAGAUGCGGAGGAACACCGAUGGCGAAGGCAGCCUCCUGGGAUAACACUGACGCUCAUGCACGAAAGCGUGGGGAGCAAAAAUGAUUAGAUACCCUGGUAGUCCACGCCCCGUAAAUGAUUGACUGAUAUUGGGGCUUUCGGGCCUUUGUAGGCAGUUAAUGCGAAGCUGACUGCCUGGGGAGUACGGUCGCAAGAUUAAAACUCAAAGGAAUUGACGGGGACCGCACGCCGGUGGAUGAUGUGGAUUAAUUCGAUGCAACGCGAAAACCUUACCUACCCUUGACAUGUCUGGAAUCCCGAAGAGAUUUGGGAGUGCUCGCAAGAGAACCGGAACACAGGUGCCGCAUGGCUGCCGCUGUGUCGAGAUGUUGGGUUAAGUCCUGCAACGAGCGCGCAACCUUGUCAUUAGUUGCUACGAAAGGGCACUCUAAUGAGACUGCCGGUGACAAACCGGAGGAAGGUGGGGAUGACGUCAAGUCCUCAUGGCCCUUAUGGGUAGGGCUUCACACGUCAUACAAUGGUCGGGACAGAGGGUCGCUAACCCGCGAGGGGGAGCCAACUUGCAACCCGAUCGUGUCCGGAUCGCAGUUCAAACCUUUCGACUGUGUGAAGUCGGAAUCCGCUAGUAAUCGCGGAUCAGCAUGUCGCGGUGAAUACGUUCCCGGGUCUUGUACACACCGCCCGUCACGACCAUGGGAGUGGUUUUACCAGAAGUAGUUAGCCUAACCGUAAGGAGGGCGAUUACCACGGUAGGAUUCAUGACUGGGUGAAGUCGUAACAACAG
rnacentral:rRNA from 1 species